AUUGAACGCUGGCGGCAUGCUUUACACAUGCAAGUCGAACGGUAACAGGCCGCAAGGUGCUGACGAGUGGCGAACGGGUGGGUAAUGCAUCGGAACGUGCCCAGUCGUGGGGGAUAACGCAGCGAAAGCUGCGCUAAUACCGCAUACGAUCUAUGGAUGAAAGCGGGGGACCGUACGGCCUCGCGCGAUUGGAGCGGCCGAUGUCAGAUUAGGUAGUUGGUGGGGUAAAGGCUCACCAAGCCAACGAUCUGUAGCUGGUCGGAGCGGACGACCAGCCACACUGGAAGUGGGACACGGCCCAGACUCCUACGGGAGGCAGAAGUGGGGAAUUUUGGACAAUGGGCGCAAGCCAGAUCCAGCAAUGCCGCGUGCAGGGAUAAGGCCUUCGGGUUGUAAACUGCUUUUGUACGGAACGAAACGGCUCUGGUUAAUACCUGGGGCUAAUGACGGUACCGUAAGAAUAAGCACCGGCUAACUACGUGCCAGCCGCCGCCGUAAAAC
rnacentral:rRNA from 1 species